ACUUUACAGUUUGUAUUCUAAUACCACAACAUAAAGAGGUGAAAGUGUGUAUGUGUGUGUGUGUGAGUCCACAUUCUUUCCAGCUGGCAUCCGUCCUAUCAGACCACAACAGCUUCCUUCCUAGUGUGCUGGAAUUCAGUCUUUCCCCCAUUUUUUCGCCCCGUACGGACUAAUGCAUAAUCCCGUCAGAUAUUUCUGGCAGCGUCAAGUGAAAGUUAAUAAACACCUCUCUAUUGACUCACAAGGAUUAAAAGUCAUCAGGACAUGUUUGCACUCCUCGCACAUGCCUUUCUGCCAGGGCUGUGCCAAACAAUUUAUGCCGAGAUGUUUGCGACAACGAGCUGGCUUUCUGCUGCACGGAUCCCCGGUGACAUGUCAAAAACCGAACGGGAAGUAAUUAGCAUGUUCAGUGAAGUUUCCCAUGCAUUUGGCGUGAAGAGUCGGGGGGAUACAUGCAGGAUUCAUGCCAUGAAAAAUAAUAUAUUCAUCCAGGUCCGUGCUCCAGAUUUCCUCACAUUUCAAAACACGUAGUGUACAUCUUUGUGCUUUUUUAAACAAAACAAGAGCUAGGCAUUGGAAAUCUGUAGGGCCAUUUGAAUUCCUCCUUUAAUCUCCCUGCAUUAUAGCAGCAGCAGAGCUGGAAAAUAACAUACAUUUUCACCAUUAUACAGAACAUAUAAUAAUCUUGUAAUGGUACUCGACAAUAUCCAUCCCACCUCCCUCUGACAGACAUUUUGAAUAUGUUUUGACUCCAGGGAAAUCACAUGGUCUUUAGUAAAAGCAUUAAAGGCUGCCCAGUUUGCGCUGCUUAAGAGCGUCUCGCUCUCCGUCGGCCCCUGAGGGUCGCGAGACUCAGCCCUCCUCAGGUACGACUCACUACAGAAAACAGUAAGACUUGGAGGCAGCGCUAUGGCAACAGCAGAGCCCGGCAUUAAGAUUCCGGUGGCGUUCCGAUCGCGAGCACACCAGUCACAGGUUUCUCGGGGAAUCUCCUCCAGGCUGCGCUUCCAAGGUCUUUCUGCAGUGACGGGACCACACCUGCAGCACGUACGUCACAGAUACUGUAAAUACAACAGAGAUAACAGGUGGAGGUCGGGCGUGGCUGUUCCUGGUCGAAGCCUUGGAGGCAAAAUCUCUCUAAUGCACUUAGAAUCUGGCACAUACACCUUCCUCCCACUCAGGAAGUCCUGAUGGGGCAGAGAGCACUCACUGCAAAGAAGACAGAGGGGAGAGAGAGAGAAUCCACCGGAGCAUAAACCCCCUGGAGACUGACAGUACAGUGCUUGUAUCUGUGAUGAGGGUGUGUAUGCGUGUGUGCGUGUGUGGGUGUAUUUCAGAGAGGAAAGGACAUGUGGCAGAUUUAAGAGCACUUGUGUGCAGCACGAAGGUGUUUUCCGCCAAGUUGGGAAAUUUUUUUUUUGUCAAAACACGGGCUGAUUGUCAUGGUUAUAAUUACGCUAAUGGCUUCAUUACGGGCAUUAAUUCAGCCCUCAUCAGUCUUUUGCCAGUGAUUAGUUCAAAGUGGAGGAGAGGUGAAACAUAGAGUUCUCAAAAGAAAAUGAUUUUCCUAAACAGGCAGAAUCUACCGGAUCAAGAUGUCCUCCCACAAUCCCUCAUGGUUUUGUAACACACAGAGACUGCGGCCAAUAUCAUCAGAUGGAAUUUGUCAGAUGGAAACUGAUAUAAUCCUGAUUUACUGUUAUGACACCAACUGAAGAUGCACUCGAAAGAAGAAUUCUUCGGCUGAACUUAAUUCAAUUGUGGACAGCACUUCCACACGUUGGAAAUGGGUUUUCCUGACAUUAAAUUAAACUGUGAACCUUGUGAAGUGGAAACCUAACAGAAUAGAAUAAAUGCAAUAAAAUUAGACA
ensembl:lncRNA